rnacentral:lncRNA from 1 species
GCGGGAUAAAUGGGGGGUGCUCUCUCCCAAGCUGAAUUUUGACGUAAUUUCUCUUGAUGUAGCUAGCAGGUGGCAGAGGUGUAUUUAAAAGUUGGCAGUAUCCUGACAGCGAUUAGAAUGUCCUCCGUCUGCUAGUCUUGUUGAUUCUUAAAUUUUGUGGAGCUCAAAUAGACAACAAAGCUUUGUGGAACUGAUUAAGUGUUAGCAUAAAUAUCUAGCCUUUAUCAUGUUGAGCCUCCUCAGUAAAUAUUACUCCCUAUUUUUAUAUUUUCAUUUUAUAAAGCAGAAAAGAAAUAUUUAUUUUAUUUUUAUGCCACCACAGUGAAUGUACUUAUGGAGUUUAUGCCACCCAUAUACUCACAUGGGCUUACUGUUUUUUAAUAUUUUUAUUUUCUUUUUAGGAUAGUAUGAACUUGAUUAACUAAUCAAACUAUUUGAAAUAAUUGAAAGGAAAAGGAUAACUACCAAGUUUACCUCUUGGCAAGGCGUUUGGUGUUUUUAAGUCCUCCGCGGGACUCCAUUUUCUCAAUUGUCCUGGGAUUCGUUGGUUGGCGUAGUCGGUGCUUCCGGCGGCGCCUCUUCUUCAUGUAUAGUUAUCUUCUCUUUCCAUACCUGACUCGAUGCUACGGUCUCCUCUGGAUAAUUCUAUUUAAACUAUAUGUCUUCUGACCUUAUCACUUCUCCUUCAUAGUAUGCCCAUCCAUCCUUGAUGAUUUGCCUCCUUUGGUUGCCUUUGCGUCGUUUUCUGACAUGCAUAGAGUCUUCAACGAUAUAGUUAGGGUCAGUAAAAUAGCUGCGUACCUUUUCUGAGGGGAAGUGCAUAUGGACUUCUCGAGUUCCAAUGUAGAUGAUUGCUUUAACGGUGCUGAGGAACGGUCUUCCAAGGAUGAUGGGUGGAUCGUAUUCGUCUUCUCCCAUGUCAAUAACCUAAAAUUCUAUGUAGACAAAAUGAUCGUCUAUUUUGAUAGGGACAUCAGUUACUAUACCUCUAACCUCUCGAAAUGUCUGAUCUGCCAUCUGGAGUUGAAUGUAUGUUGGUUUUAGGGGCAUGGUUCCGAACAAGAGCCGAUAGGUGACUGCGGCCAUUAUGUUGACGCCCGAUCCGGUGUCGCAAGUCAUCUUUUAGAAGUUGUAUCCAUUUAUAGAGCAAUAGAUGCUUGGCAUUCCUGGGUCAUCCUUCUUGGUCAAAAACGGUGACUUAAGUUGAUGAUCUUGACCUCCUUGAGCUGCAGUGACCAUCUUAGCUGACUCGGUCCACACUUGCUUGUUCCUGUUCCUCCUGUCGGUCCUCUUCCAUGAUUCAUGCCGGGAUUGAUCUGGGAUUUGUGUAGUCUUGUUCUUGAAGGAAAACGUCUCCUUCCUCCCUUUGAUGUAGAAACUGAUCUUGGCAGCACUAGCGUAGAUGAUAGCUCCCGAGGUGUUUAAGAAUGGCCUCCCUAAGAUGAUGGGUGCCCUCUCAUCAUUAUCAGUCUCUAUCACCACGAAGUCUGCUGGGACAUACAAGGUACCAACUCGGACACAAAGGUUUUUCAAUAUUCCUUUUGGAAAACUUAUCGUCUAAUUUGCAAACUGCAAACACAUGGUUGUCUCUAAUAAAGGAUAUGUAAAGAACUUUUCAUAGAGUACCCUAGGCAUAA